UUUUUUUCACAACCUGAAUAAACCUUUUAUAAACAAACUUGUUUAUUUAUAACAGCAUGUUGUUUACAAAUCUAUCUUCUCCACAAGAGGUAAUGAUUCUAUGACCCACUAGUCUAACACAUUGCCGAUCCUUCGAUCUCCACUUUCCUAGACUCUAAGGCUUCCGGUCCUUCGUGACCGCCAUCCAGGGACCUGAAAAUGGUUAUUCAAUAACCAAUGAGAUAAUGUCUCAGUAAGUUCUACCCCCUAAGACCCGAUUAGUAAACCAAUACACCAUGGGCUACCUAUACAUAUAUGGGUUAGAGGACUUAUCUUGACCUAUGAUUCCACCUGCAAAUUAGUACAAUUCAAUAGGCACCCAAACAAUCACAACAGAUUGAAACAUCGAUCAAAUCGACCUAGUCGAUUACAUGUUAUCACGACCAUUCCCAGUCUUUUUAAUUAAUAUCAUACAUUCCCCAUAGUGGAAUAUCUAGUCAUCAAGCCCACAUGUAUUCUCUAGGUUAAUGUACUUAGUUACCGAGCCCACAUGUAAUCUCCAAGAUGGUAUAUUUAGUCAUCGAGCCCACAUGCAUUCUCCACGUUAACGUACUUAGUUACUGAACCCACGUGCAUUCUCCAAGAUAGUAUAUCUAGUCAUCAAGCCCACAUGCAUUCUCUAGGUUGACAUACUUAGUCACCAAGCCCACAUAAUAUCCACAAGUCACGUGCAUUCUUCAGGACAACCUUCUUGGUCUUUGAGCCCACGUAAUAUAACUUUCUUUAUCACCACUUUAUACAGCCUAUUAAAACAUUAAAGGCGAUGUAGACCCCACGCUCGGUCAUUCCCAAUCAAUUACUGAAAUUGAUCACUCUAGGAAUAAAAUCCUAAAAACACAAUUAAUUCAAUUCAGCACAAAAUAAAGCUCAACUAAAUAAACAGACUGCGCCACAAUAAUCAGUAUAAAAUUCCGGUUGUCGGCUAUCCCUGCCUAAUUUCUGGAAAUUAAUUAAUUAAUUUAUUAAUUUCGAAAAUUAAUAAAUAAAUACUAAAAAUCCAAUUUAGGCUCGUAAUGUCUAAUUAGAUGCCAGAACGGAUCGAGAAAAAUCCCGAGAUGCAUUUAAUAAAUAGGAGUAUGUCUCUACUUACUAAUUAUAUUAACCAAUCACCUAACAUGCAUAGGUAAAUCCCUAAUUUAGUUAUUCUAAUUUAAUCUAUCCACCUAAGUGCACUUAAUUAAAUCUAAUCAACUCCUAAGCAUCAAUAGUCCACUAAUAAGGGAUUAGUGAGCAAAACUCACUUGAUUAAAGCGAAGACCGAAACACCGUGACGACGACGCGACGGCGGCCGAACUUGGGCUCACGACGGCACCAACGGGCUUGGACCGGGCCUUAAACUUGGCCCAACAAAUCACAGUCCAAACUGAGAUUUAUUCUUGAGUUGAAUUGGGCAUGGGCUCAAAACAAAAGCUGAAAUUACGAACUAGGUUUGCGACACUUGUUGGGCUUGACUGAAGACGGGCUGCUGUGCGGGCUCAAAGGAGAUGGGCGGCUGAGCUUGGGCCGGACGUGCAAGCUUCUAGGCUCAAGCAAAGAAGAAGCUGCUGGGCUUCUGCACACAGUGGGAUUGGGCCACAAAAUUAUUGAAGAUGGGCUGUUGCUUCGGUGAUGCUGGGCCAAAAGAGAGGAGAUCGUGGACGCUGGCAGCUCACGCUUCAGUGGACUGAAGCUUAGACGGCAGCUGCUUCGGUGGCGCAAGGAGACCACGGCUGCAGCUUGAAGAAAUCUCGGUGAAGAUGGACAAACGGGCAGCAGCUUCGGUCGUGGGCAGCUGAGGGAGGCAGGUGGCGCACGGAGGGAUCUGCUGGGUCGACGAAGGGGAAGGGAUCUUCGCUGGUUGACUGACCGUGUGACACGCGUGGGCGAGCUGCAGGGCAAAAUAAAUUUCGGUGUUGCUGCUCGCGUGAAGAACCGAUGAAGAAGACCCAAGGAAAAUGGAGCUGCAGCGUUCGGUGAAGUGAGGCGGCUGCAGGGGACGUCCACGAAGAUAAGAGGGGAGAGAGAAGUGGCGUCUUCGACCGCAUCAAUGAAAACCAAAAAGGAAAAACAGCAGGGGAGGAAAGGAUAAGGGACAGCAGGGACGGUCGGCCAUGAGGGGUGAAAUUCACGAGAGAGAGA
rnacentral:lncRNA from 1 species